AAGUAAUAUAACAAAAGACUCGAUAUUACUGUACAAGAUUAGAAAGUAAAGGAUAACAUGAAUGACAGACUCAAAACAUAAAAGUAUCUUUAAGUAGCUCCUGAAUGCAGUGGUCCUGGGUAUUUGUCAUGCUCGAGCUCUGGUAAAUGAAUCUAUACUUGAAUGAGAAAAAUAAGACCAAACAGAUUAAAUGACUGAAGACACUAUGUAAGGCCACGACACGUUCUAUUGGACACAUGCAAGGCAUGAUAAGCAUGAUUAAGGCUAUUUUUGCAAAAAGGCUUAUGUAGCCAAAAGUGACUGAAAAUGCAAAACUCAAGAAGGAAACACCUCAUAAAGGCCUAUAUGGCCUUAAACAUCAAGGCAUCAUAACCUCUGAAGUUACUUUGCAAAAAUAACCUUAUUUUGCAUAAAUGGCCUACAACAACAACAACAACGACCCAGUAUAAUCCCACAAGUGGGGUCUGGGGAGGGUAAUAUGUACGCAGACCUUACCCCUACCCCGAAGGGUAGAGAGGCUGUUUCUAGGAGACCCUCAGCUCAAAAAGCAAUAGGAGAUGAUAUAUUAGUACCAUAAAAAUGCAUAAUAAAAAUAACAACAAUAUAUAAGAGAUAUGAAAUAUGAAAUACAGAAUACGAAAUGGCCUAUGUGGCCGAAAAUUUGCAGAAAUGGCCUAUGUGGCCGAAAAUGGCUAAGCAUGCAAAUUCAACAGGAAUGGACCUUAAACAAAUAGGACACCUUGUUGUAGACUUAGGACCUAAGGCAUGGGUAAUUGAACCACUUCUGCGAAAAUGAUCCCAUUUUGCAAAAAUGGCCGAUAUGGCCGAACGUGGCUAUACACGCAAGAUUUGGCUAAGACCCCGCAAAGCUAAGAACUUAAGACUCACUAGGAAGACCGGACCCUAUGUGGGAUGCCUACGUAUCCUCCCCCCCCCCCCAAAACGACGAGAAUCAUAUAUGCGUAGUUCGGGAAAAUUGGACAUGGGAGAAAUUUUUUUAAAAAAUGCAACUAAUUUGGAAAAACUAUAUUUUUUGUCUUUUUGAAAAAUGGUGGAAAAUGUAAAAUCUUUUUGGAUUUUUUUUCUUUUUUUNNNNNNNNNNNNNNNNNNNNNNNNNAAAAUAAUGGAAAAGUGCAAAAUCUUUUUGAAUUUUUAAUUUUCAUUUUUUUGUCUUUGUUCUUGAAAAAGUUGUGAAAGAAAAUCGUAACUGGGCCCUACUUGCUUCAUUUUUAUACUUCACCUUCUUUCCCAAACAUCAAUCCGCCAAAUGACCUUUCUACCAGCAAAGAUGCAACAUGUAUCAUAUAGGGAUAAUUUAAUGUCUUUUUGGGCCACAAGCCCAUUUUGACAAAAUUUGGAUAGGCCUCCUACAAAGGGACAUGGUACCUAAGACCGAGCCCUGCUAGGUCUAAAUGACAUGAUGCAAAUAAAAAUGACCUAAAGGUUGACCUAAGUUUAGGGUUCACUAAUAAGGCAAAUCAGGGGAGCGUAUGGUCGAUGGUGGUUGCUCAAGCUUUCCACCUACUCCAUACAUCCGCCGGCCCUCCCCUCAUAAAAUAAGGGUGACUCAACAAAGAGUUCGUGCAUGCAAUGCGUACUCCGAGACUUGUUGCAGAAAGAAGACCCAUGCUUAUGCAAAUGAUGACAGUUUUAAAGCAGUAAACACAUAAGGAAAAACGAUAAAAAAAUAACCAACAAAAUAUGAAAUAAGACAAAACUAAAUAAACAAAGCAAAUAAAGAAAACAAACACCUCAACUGAAUAUCCUAAAAACCAACAAGAUCAAGUAUCAGCUCGAACCUGCAACUCGCCAGCAGAGUCGCCAGAGAUGUCACACCCAUUUUUUACAAACCUCACUAACCCUCUUAAAUUAAUAAAAAGAUUUCUCAAAGCUCGAAUGGGUUUUUCAAUUUUGAAAGUGACAAAAGAUAGUGUUCAAAAGGAUUAACUAAGAGUCGCCACCUGACGUUGGUUUCGGUGUGCCAGGUCACCAUUUUUUUUAAAUGAUUUUUCCUUUUAAAACGCUUCAGACUCUAAAACUAAGUCUACACCAGAGAUUUGGGUAAGGGGGUUCAUUUGACUCGGGGAGAAGAGGUUAGGCACUCCCCAAGUCCCGUGAAGGUCACACGUACUCGAUCUAGUUGGCUCUUAAAACUUUCAAAUUGAUGUAAAACACACGGAAAUAAAAAAAACACACAAGAGGCUCGAGGUUGUCCCAACCUAAUAAAAGAAAAAUGAAAAUAAAAAAUAAAAAUACUACGAUUUCUACUAUCGGCCUCCAAAUACAAAUACUUAGGGGCAUUCCCCGGAUAAAUUUAACUAAGGGGGACAUCUCGCCUCAAGAAGAAGCUAAAACACGAACAUCCUAAAGGUUUGCCUACCCAAAUGUGGCGGCCUAAGCAUGCUACUAGCGGUAAGCGUUAAAUAAUAAAAGGAAACUAAAUAAAAGGGAAAAGUCUAAAUCAUGCUCAAGUUCUCUUGACUUUUUGUUUUAUGUAUUUGGCCAAGCUCAAUUCCUAAGACAUGUAAACUACUUAAUUACUAAUGGGCAUGGCCUUUUCUCUUUUUCAUACAAUCUUGUUUCAUUCCAAACAAAUAUAUCCCAAAAUGACAAACGGAACCCCUAAACAUACAGGCAUCCAAGCAUAAGAAAUGGGAACAACAAAAAUAGAAUUAAAAAGGUGACUUAAAAUAUGGCACUGGCCAUAAUAGCUUUAGACUCGGAACUGACUUUCACAAAAUGAGCACUUUACUCUUGAAAUCUUUAGCAAAGGACAAAUUCAAAACAACUUUCUAUGAGAAAAGAAUAUGUGUGUCAACCCAGCAGCAGCAUCACAUGAAUUAGAUUAAUGUGCCAUCAUUUUUCUUAGUAAAUUAACUUUUAAUGUUUAGCACUAAUCCAACACAAUAGUUGUAUAGAAUUGGAGAUCAGAUUAUGUUUUCUCUUUAGAAGUAAAAACAAAGUAAGUUCAAAUAUAUAGUAAAAGCAUCUUACAGAAGGAAACUAAAGAACCAAUGCUCAUGAAUAAAGUUUAAACCCAAAAUUUUUAAUUUAUGAACUGAAUCCAAAAACUAGAACUGAGUCGUAUAAUAAAUUUGACGAACACAUAUAAAAUCAAAAAACAAUUAAAAGAAUAGGCCAACAACAUAUUUCAAUCACAACCACGAAAGUAAUAUCGCAAAUAAAAGAGAAGAGGAGAAAAGAUGGACCUGAAUUGAUUUCAAAUAUAUUUGAAUCUCCGACGAUUACAAGAAUUCUGACUAAAGGAAGAUGAAAAGCAGCAACAACAAAAUCGUGCAGGGACCGCGAACCAGUACCAAAAUUUGAGCGGCGCCGGAAAACUAGAGCUUGAACACGACCGGAAACUCAAAUUUCAAUCAAAGACUCAAACCGGAAUCACGAACUCGACGGGACAGUACCAAAGAGAUUUGAACCUAGUGCAGAGAAUUACUCUCCGGUAACUUCAACUCCACGAGAAGUUAAGACCCUAAUACAGUCCGGCAGCAGCGAUGCAAGACGACAGUCAUCGAAACAUUAAAAACCAUACUAAGGUUGCCGGAAAGGAGUGCUAAAGCAAAUAUAAAAGCUCCUGGAUGACUACAAUCACAUAUCCGGCUAAAUCUGAAAAUCCCAGCGAGAUCCAAAUGAAUAUCAGAAAUCAAAGAGAGGAGGAAAGGAGCGGGAAGCAGUGGUGUUGGGUUUCCUGUGGAUAUACAACCUGUCGCUGACGAUCAACUUCGGCGAGGCGGAGAUGGCUGUAGUUUGGAGGAGAUGGUCGUUCCUUUUAGGUGAAGGGGUAUGCCGCUAACUUAGGGGUGUUCUCUUGGUCUAGGUCUGUGGCUGAAGCUUAGGGUCUAGCUUGGAGAAGAAGGGUCAUGGCUGGGAGGAGUGGACAACAACGGAUCUCAGGGUUCAGGAGUGUUCUCUAGGG
rnacentral:lncRNA from 1 species